GAUGAACGCUGGCGGCGUGCUUAACACAUGCAAGUCGAACGGAAAGGCCAGUGCUUGCACUGGUGCUCGAGUGGCGAACGGGUGAGUAACACGUGGGUGAUCUGCCCUGCACUUUGGGAUAAGCCUGGGAAACUGGGUCUAAUACCAGAUAGGACCAUGCUUUGGAUGGUGUGGUGGAAAGUUUUUUCGGUGUGUGAUGAGCUUGCGGCCUAUCAGCUUGUUGGUGGGGUAAUGGCCUACCAAGGCGUCGACGGGUAGCCGGCCUGAGAGGGUGUACGGCCACAUUGGGACUGAGAUACGGCCCAGACUCCUACGGGAGGCAGCAGUGGGGAAUAUUGCACAAUGGGCGCAAGCCUGAUGCAGCGACGCCGCGUGGGGGAUGACGGCCUUCGGGUUGUAAACUCCUUUCGCAACUGACGAAGCUUUUUGUGACGGUAGGUUGAGAAGAAGCACCGGCUAACUACGUG
rnacentral:rRNA from 1 species